rnacentral:lncRNA from 1 species
UUUUGGGUUUUGACUGCAGCUUUGAACCUUCCUCCCAGCUCCCAGGGAAGCUGACCCAAGUGAUCCCAUCAGUCAGCACCCACAGCUCUGGCUCUGAAGGUUACUACUCCAUCCUGCACCAUCCCAAGGAGAACGAUGAUGAAUGGGGUCUGUCAGCCUUGCAGGUAUUUUGGUUUCAGAAGCAGCCUGGGAAGCCAAGGCAUGCGCUGGGAUGCUGAGAGCUGGGGUUCCUACUGUGACAAGGAGGGCACUGUGUAAACACUGUGGGUGUACUAAGGUCCAAUGACAUGGACCCCUUUUACUUUGGAGCUGCCAGAGGCAGCUGUCCCCCCUCCAUGUGACAUCACAGAGGAUAGAGCAGGACUGGUCAGGAGCAGCACAGGUAGUUCAGAAGAGCUUCGUGGAGCCCAAGCUUGAAGCACAUGUUAGAGGCUGCUGUCUGUGUUCUCCCUCUCCAAAUUAUCUCUUUCUGUCUCAUUGCCUGUGUCUGUACACUUCUUUGUGUGUGAGCUCUGCAGUACCAAGGAAUUCUGCUCGAAGGGUUGACAGACUCAGCCUUCCCCAAAUGCUGCAGCUCAGGAGCAGACCUCAGUGCAGUGCAGAGAUGCUGUCCACAGCCUGGGCUGGAUGCAGGUGGCUGUGGAGCCGCUGGCAGCCAUGGGUCACCACUGUCAGCAGUGCCAACACCAGCCAUGCUCCCACAUCUGCUGUCCACAGCUGUGCCAUGCUUGAGGUGCUGCACCUACCCCACCAACCUGGAGCUGCUCAUCAUACUCCAGCAGAAGACCCAAACAGCAAUGCAAGCUGAGCAGCUGUAUAAAUGUUUCCUGACAUUUUGGAGAUGAAAUAGAUCAUGCUGUUCAAACCUCUUCUUUCAGAAAGCAUUCAAAUAAUACCUUUUCAAUUCGAGAGGACUUUUGUUUGCUUUAAAGAUUUUGUGAUAAUUUCCAGCAGAGGCCAUCAGACAGCCAGUCUGUUCCACUCUUCUCCAUCCCAGGAUGCAGACCAGAGCUCCCUUUUUCUCUGCAGGAUGUCCUCCAUCAUGCCCACACUCUUCUGCAUGAACAGCUUCCCUGGGUCUUCAAUAUCUUUCCAACACUGAAGCAGCUAUUCCAGCCAUUAACCAGCCCUCUCUGAAUGCA